CCUGCCCCUAGAGGCCCUGCAGGUGUGGCUUCUGUGUCACCCGUGCAUCUAUAGCUGGCAGAAAGGGGAGGGGCUAUAUCCACACUCAAUGUUCUGACCUUUGAACAUCUGAGUGAUUAGUAACCUAAUACU